AAUUCCAAGUUAGAUAUAGAUGCAAUAUCUGUUAAUUCCUAGGGUUGAUUCAGCCGAUUCAGCUGGUUGGGCAGAUGUCCCCCUCUUCCCUUAAUUUUCUAUAUCCAUCCUUCCUGAUGCUUUUACUUAAUCGAAUAAGACAGCUGCCAGAAAGAUGGAGAAGUGGUCACUGCUUAAGGACAUCUGAGCAGUUGGGCUUCCUUGCUAGAGUAUUCUAGCAAGGGGAUUAAAAUAAGGGGACCAAAGGGAUUGAAAUAAGGCUACCCAGUUAGAGGCAGCUGCCCUGUUU
rnacentral:snRNA from 1 species